AUGGGCCCUCUUGUGGUAGACCCACAUGUCAUCGGUGUAACUAUUUACACUCCGGAGGACGGUGCCUAUAUCCUGGUAGUAGUACUAGUAGAAUUGAGAUUUAAUGCACUUUCUUCCCCGUCUUCCACUCUUCUUCCUCCUCUCUUCUUUUUCCUCCUCUCUUCCCCAUCAUUGGCCGCACACCAUUUACCCCCGCUUACUGCUCGCCCGCCCGCGCCAUCUUCCUUGGUAGCUCGCGCAUACCAUAUCCCCCCGCUCACUGCUCCAGACGCAAAUGUGCUGGCCUUCAUGAUUCCAGGACCUGCAAUCAUACCAGCCGAUGGUUUGAAGCACUCCUCUGGUUUGAAGGAUAGAUACCUUCCCGGGAUCAAGUGCAUCCUAACUCACCUGCUACCAUAUAACUGGAAUUACCGAUGCAAGUCGAAGAAGGAUUGGCUGGUGCUGCCGGCUGGCAUCAAGUUCGAUCCCAUGAAUCAGGAGCUGAUCAAGCACCUUGAGGCCAAAGUGAGGGUUGACAGCGCGAGAUUUCAGUCUCUCAUUGAUUUGUUCAUACCAACCAUCGACAGCGAGCACGACAUAUGCUACACCCAACCUGAGAAACUUCCAGUUAAGACACCGAUCGGCCGUCUACUUGCACAAACAUAUUCCUUUGUUUAUAGCUCUAUUUUUCUUUUUAGACGCAGACCUGGUAUCACACUGAGUGGCCUAAGGAAGCAUUUCUUCCAGCGCAAUUCCAGGGCAUUCAAAAGGGGCACGUGGAUGCGUCCAAAAAAGGUUCUGGUGCUGCACACCAACAAGAACUUCGACCAGCAGAGGACCAACUGUGUGAUGCACCAGUACCACAUCGGGGACCUGGAGCAAGAGAAGGAGCGGGAGCUGGUCCUCUUCAAGAUUUUCUACCAGACGAACACUAGGGCCAGGAGUAGUUUGGUAUUGGUAGUUGUACUACCUUGUCGUCCGCAAGUUGGUAUUGUUGUUAACGAUCUUUUGGCCCAGCCCAUGACGACAACGGUCCACAAAGAUCCAGCAGUUCGAGCUAACCGCCGGGCAGACGCUGUAGCGCCGUCACCAACUAUCGCUUCUAACCCUAACCGGCCGGCGGGCGGUGGUAUUCAUCAGAAGCACGAGACGACUUGUUUUUGUUCUUCCUCGCGCGGAGGAAGUCGUCUUCAUCCCCGCCGUUGGAGCUGCAAGGGGAUCUCGCAUGUUCUCCAGGUAGAGGCUGCAGGGUUGGCAGUUGAUGCUGCUGCGGUAGCUUUGGCCAAGGUGUCACUUGUUAAUGGCGAAGGAAGUGGUGGGAAUGCAGGUGAAGGGGGUGGUAUGGUUGAUAGCAAAGGAAAUGCUGGUGGAAUAAAUGAGACGUGCAAAGUUGGUGGUGUCUUCUGCUCUCCUCAUAUCGGUGCCGACAGUGUUGAAGGUAUUUCAUCGCCGGAUGUUAACGAUUUCAUCAUGCAAUCUUGCCGUGACAUCAAUGCCCAACAUGUUGCGCCUAAUUCCCCACCGACGCACAACAUGGCUGCGCCUCCCAAUGUUGAACCAUGUAGAGCUUCCGAUGGAGACAACUUUGUGUGCAGUCUGACUCCACUGUGGUGCGAUACGCAAUCGCAGUCAGUCAUUGGCAAUGAGAUUGUUACACAGGAUUAUAUGGUCUCACAACAGUUAAGGAAUGAGGAGAUAAGGCAGCUAGAGAAGCGGAAUUUUUUUCCAGAGAAAGUUGAUGCUCAUGAGAGGAAGAAGCGGUUAAGGCUCCCCAAAGGUCUAGUUGAUACCUCAAAUGUCACCAGCAAUGCUCAUGCUCCGGAUACAGGAACUGGAGUCCGUGUGCAGGUUGGUACAUCACGGGAUCCUCCUAGUGGUGUAGCCAGUAAGACUGUUGUUCCAUCUCCAUGUCGGAGUCCACGCAUUGCCAGUGGUCCAGUGGUUGAUCGUGUCUAUCCGAGUAUUAAACUUGGUGGAAAGCGUUGUUCAGAAGCUGGAGGUGAUUUUGUAGGAGGUCCUUCUGUUGAUGGCAUUGGGCUCGACGGGGAUAAUGUUGUUCAUAGGAAGCGCCGGCCUAAGGUUGUUGGGAGUGGAGCAAAGAAGAAGGUUGCAAAGUCUGCGGUGUCAAACGCUGGUGCUUGUGAUAGGAUCAAUGUCUUGAAGGGCAAUGUUUCACGUCUUCUGAUGUGCCACUUGAUGAAGAAGAUUGACACGGCCACGAUGCGGAUUGACUGUGGCCCUAAUAAAGUUCUUGUAGUCAGCAAAGAAGCCGUGCAUCAGGCUUUUGGUUUCCCCAUGGGUGAUGACACAGCUCCCAGGCCAGCUGAUAGCGGCCAUGACGAGUCAAUGGCUAGAUUUAAGGCAGAGUUGGGUUUCAGCAAAGCUUCUGUGGUUGACACAAAAGACUUGAGGAAUGUCUUGAAGCAGCUUGUAGUCGAUGAGUCAAAGGAUGCGCUUGCUAUAAAGGUUUUCUUUGCUAUCCUUUUUUCAAAAAUGAUAUGCCCAGGUCCUGCUGUCCGUGUAGGCAAGGAGGCGGCAAUGCUAGAUGGUAUUGUUUUUGAAGAUAUGGCAACGAUGGAUUUUUGCCAGCUAGUAGUGGAUGAGUUAAAGCGUGCAGCUAUCAGAUGGCAAGAUCCAAAUAUCAUUCAAGCAGGUCCAGAAGGUUGUGGAGUAGUGCUAGUCCUUAUGUAUCUUGAUUGUUGCCUACUGAAGGCCGUGUCUGUGAUGCAUGUGCAGACUCCGCGUGCAAAUUUCCUGACAGAGAAGGUGCUGAAUUCAAUUUUCUUGAAAGAUAUUGUAAAGAAGGGUGUGAAAAUUUUGGACGGCUAUGUUUUUGGAAAAUUUGGGUGGAAAUCCCGUAACCAGAUUGCAUAUUCCCAGCAAGUUCCCCCUGGGCAAAGUCGUGAUCGCGCUUUUCCUGAUGCACAUGUCCCUACCUACGCACCAAAAGAACAUGCACAUGAUGAGGCUGGCUGUAGCCAGAAUGCAGAUGUAGCUUUUAAUGUACAAAAAUUGAGUAAUGCCAUGGAAGAUGGUGGUGUAUUUGCGAAGAUUAAUGGCUUAUUGCAGAAGGUGGAUGAGUUGGCCACUGAAGUUUCCACGACGUCUGAUCGGCUGGGCUGCAUUGCUGGCAUUUUCCCUGAAGGUCAUGGACCAAGGGAAGAAUCAAUGAAGGAGGCUACAGAGCGUGAUGUUGCUAUCAUCGAUAGUAUCCGGAGCGCGACAUCACACAUUUGCACCACUUUCAUUGACUUGAAGAAGAAACAAGAUGCCAUAUGCAAAGGCUUUGAAAAUGAUGCUCGUAUUAUUGUGAGUCAGAUUAGCAAGCAGAAGAAUGACGUGUCUGCCCCUGUUGUUGUGAAUGCGCCUGAUGAUGAUGAAGAGAAGCAAGAGCCCCCUACUGAAUCUCCUCCGCAUGAUUUUAGUGACGACAAUGUCAUUGAUGACGACUUGCUGGGUGGUGAUUCUGAUGGGGGUCGCAAGGUUGUUGACGACAUCAUUGAUUAUACAGAGGGAAUUUUUGCACCAGACCUGCCCGUAGCCCAAGGGAAGCACGACAGCGUAUCAGUUACGAUUGAAGGUGGUUUAGAAUUUAAAGAUCACGCUUCAAAUGAAUCUAGCCAGGUUGUCACUCACAAUGCUGAUAGUGGUUCAGGUUUGCUUGAUGGUAGACAGGCGCCUGAAGGUGCUUGUGAGAGUGUGUUUGUCAUGGAUGGCGUUGGUGAUGGUGUCAAUCAUGCAGCAAGUUGUGUAGGAAAACAAGCGCUGAGAGGUACAUCUAUGCCUGAAAGCAUUGGAGCCAGAGGUGAUGUAUUUCCUAUUCCGGUCCGCGAAAUGCAUGUUGUCGAUGGAGCAUGUGCAUCGAACAAGGAUGCGAAGCAUACUGUUGUUUCUGAAUUUCUGAAGGAUGCUACAGUUGUUGACACCCACCCAGGUCGUGUUGCUCAUGCUACUGUAGCAGACCCCAAGGAUGCAAGUGUUUUCAAUGUGUCUCAUGUGCUAGACAAAUCAAAUGUUGACCGUGGUGCAUCUGCUCCUGCGAGACUUUUUGGGAAUCCUGCAGAAGUUACCGAGGGGUUAGAUGCGAAGCUGAAAGAUAUAAUUUCAAAAGCUAUGAUGCGCGGUAAUUAUAGUGUUGAGCCUCAGCCUGAAGUUGAACCCAACGUUGACAAAGUUGGUGCUGAUGGCGCUUCUGAGGAGACAAAUAGCGAUGACUUGGGAGUGUCAAUAAAUGAGAUAGAUUCAUCUCAAACAGUCCCCAGUUUUACGCAAACCCCAACCACACCUGAAGCUGUGCAAUGCAUGAAGGACUUAUACUCUGCUAUUAUGAGGUUAAGGAAGGACAAGAAUAAAAAGGAUGAGGUGCUGUUUGAGAAUGCGUUUUGCAAAGCAACUGUCAAGCAGGUUGCGGAGUCUUUCAGAGUUGGUGGCAUGCUGAACACUGCGGUUGCUUCUCAAUCUAUCUGGAAGGGGUCCUUUGAUAAUAGGCACUUGAUCAGAUUUUUCUUUGCCUAUGCCGAUGAGCCGCUGGAUAAGAAGGAUAUUGUACUCUUUGGUGUCUUUGACCCUCCAGCUACCAGGGAAGGUGCGGGGCACUAUUGCGUAGUUGCGCUAAACAUUAAGCAUUGUUGUUUUGAGCUGCUUGAUUCUUGGCACCUUCCCGGUAGUGAGAGUGGCAUAAGGGUCAUAAACAGGAUGGCGAAGAACAUUAAGCAGCUUUGGAGGAAUGGCUCGUCUGAGCGCAAGAAGAAGAAGUUGGAUCCGGCAAACAUUGACCAUUUCCGUUUGCACCAUGCCGUUGUGCCCCAGCAGGAAAACCCUAUCGACUGUGGUUUUUUCAUGAAUGAACUGCUGGAGACAUAUGAUGAUCUUGGGCUAGACGAGCCUAAAUUUAGUUUGUUCAAGAGCCAAUGUGAGACGCAAGAAAUUCAGGUAAUAUCGGAUGAUGACAUAUUGAAGUCAGUUGAAGCUGUUAAAGUAAAGAAGGACGGUGUGCACUCAAAAUCAAAGGGGGUGACUUGGGCUGCCCCAAAGGCUGUGGAUCGUUGUGUUGAGAGUGAUGAUGAUUCUUUUAUGCCUCCGGCGCCUAAAAAGGGUUUGCCGCCCAGAGCUGCUAGUCAUAUUAAAGCAACAGUGAAAUCACCUCUUGUUAUGAGUGACUAUGAUGAUUUCAUUUUGCAUGGUGAGAGAACAGUGUUCACCAGGAGAAAAUCAGUGGAGGAGCCAUUGGUAGUGUCUAAUAAAAGGCCAGUUGCUCUGUCAAUGAGGCUGAGAAUGCCUGUGUAUGCUCUCAAGCCAUUCAAGUUUCCAUUUGUGGCUGUUGCAAAACAAAUUUUGGACCUAAUACUUAGCAAGGAGUUUAUCGACAAGGUCCCUCUGUUUAAGUGCACUUCUCGAACUGGCGAUGAAUUUAUAGCUGAUGCUAAAUAUCUAGUUACCUACUUUGGUCCUGCCGGUUGCAUUGAUACUGAGUUGAUGGAUCUUGUGAUCAGCUAUUGGAAGGGAAGCCCUGACUACAAUCAUGUGUAUAAAUCCGGAGAUAGGGUGUUGCUUAGCCCGUAUGUGAUAAAUUAUCUUGUUGAAAUUGAACCAUACCAUCGGCCAGUUGAUGAAGAUGGGCAGGAGAUCCCGAGGCCGCCCUUCAAUGUUAAACUUGCUGCUCAGAAGUUCAAGCUAUACAUAAAAGAGAACCUGCUCGCUGCAAACCUGAUCAUGCUACCAUAUUGGAAUCGGAAUCAUUUCACACUGUACACUAUGAACAAGUAUCGUGAGUCCCUGGAUAUCCAUGACUCGUGGAGAUACACAGGGCGUAACCUUUCAAGGAACCGAUUCCAUGAAGAACAUGUCGAAAUUAUGUCCAGGAUGUCGUUGUUGAUGAAGGAGGUGUAUGGCGAAGCUGCAUACAACUCUUCAAGACAGCCCCGUUGGGAACAUCUGGCAGAGAGAUGUAGCUACGCGAAAAUGCUAGAGCAAGGGGUUAACGAAUGUGGCUUUUACAUGUUAAAAGCUGCUUUUUUGUAUGAUGGCAUCAAGCUAGUAGAGGAAGUGAAGAAGCGUGAUCCAUAUUCUGCGUACUGGAAGGCCGAGUGCCUUUUUUAUGUUCUUUUCCACCCUAAUAAUGAGGUUCGGCGCGACCAGUGGCCGGGGGAGAUGGCUGACAUUGCUAAGUUGUUAUAA
rnacentral:rRNA from 1 species